GCUGUCGGGAACGCAGCCGUCCCUGGUUUCCGUGGGGAAGCCCCUCCCCAGGCUCUCCCUGGCCGGGGCACAGGGCAUGUGUCUGAUCACAAACCCGUGUCCGGCAGCCCCCCGGGUGCUGCCGGGUGUUGUCCCCUCCCCAGUCCCCCUGUCCUGCUGCAGGAUGGGACCUGGGGGUCGGCCUUAGCAGCAGCCUCGUGCUCCCUUUGAAAGGGUCCUGAGGGGGUCUGAACUCAGGAAGAGCUUCCCAGCUCUCCCAACACCUCUGCCUGGGUGCUCCAGCUCUGUCAGGACCCACCACCCAGGGACAGUCACUGAAGUCACUAAUGGGGUUUCUUUUUCUUUUCCCCUCAGCUUUGCAGCCCAGGACUGAAGACCCCACCUCAUCUCUAGGGGAAGAUGAAGUUACAGGAGGUGGAGGCACUGACAGCCAACCUAAAAUGAAAAAGGGACACAGCCUGUGGCAGCCCAGCCUUGCCCUGCCUGCAGCCUGCUGAGGGGAUCAGGAUGAUGCUCCCAAGGACACAAGUAACUGGGAAAGUGGCUGAUGACCAGUGGGAGUCUCCAGUGUGAGAGGAGGAGGCUGGAGUCAGCACGAGGGGAGCAACAAGGAUACCCAUCACUGCACUUCAAGAGGCUGAGUCCCACGACUUGCGGAGCGGUUUGGAGUCAUGUCCCGGGGAGGUGGUCACGCCGUGGUGAUGGCAUUGAGGUCCUUCAUCAGUCCUUCCAG